rnacentral:rRNA from 1 species
UGGGGAAUAUUGCACAAUGGGCAGCAAGCCUGAUGCAGCCAUGCCGCGUGUGAAGAAGGCCUUCGGGUUGUAAAGCACUUUCAGCGAGGAGGAAGGUGGUGAGCUUAAUACGCUCAUCAAUUGACGUUACUCGCAGAAGAAGCACCGGCUAACUCCGUGCCAGCAGCCGCGGUAAUACGGAGGGUGCAAGCGUUAAUCGGAAUUAACUGGGCGUAAAGCGCACGCAGGCCGGUUUGUUAAGUCAGAUGUGAAAUCCCCGGGACUCAACCUUGGGAACUGCAUUUGAAACUGGCAAGCUAGAGUCUCGUAGAGGGGGGUAGAAAUUCCAGGUGUAGCGGUGAAAUGCGUAGAGAUCUGGAGGAAU